rnacentral:rRNA from 1 species
GAUGAACGCUGGCGGCGUGCCUAAUACAUGCAAGUCGGACGGAUGUAGCAAUACAUUAGUGGCGAACGGGUGAGUAACACGUAGGUGACCUGCCCUAAAGAGGGGAAUACCACUUCGAAAGGAGUGACAAAACCGCAUAAACUUAUAGAGAUCAGAAGGCUAUAAGGAAAAGAGCGAUCUACUUUAGGAGGGGCCUGCGGCCCAUCAGCUAGUUGGUAGAGGUAACGGCCUACCAAGGCGAUGACGGGUAGGGGACCUGAGAGGGUGGCCCCCCACAAUGGAACUGAAACACGGUCCAUACACCUACGGGUGGCAGCAGUAGGGAAUAUUGCAAAAUGGGCGCAAGCCUGAUGCAGCAACGCCGCGUGGGCGAUGAAGGCCUUCGGGUCGUAAAGCCCUUUUGGGAGGGACGAGGAAGGACGGUACCUCCCGAAUAAGCCUCGGCUAACUACGUG